GGGCGCGUAGCUCAGUCGGUAGAGCAUUCGACUUUUAAUCGAAUGGUCACAGGUUCGAUCCCUGUCGCGCCCACCA
rnacentral:tRNA from 1 species